rnacentral:misc_RNA from 1 species
GAAACGCGAUAAGUAAUGUGAAUUGCAGAAUUCAGUGAAUCAUCGAAUCGUUGAACGCACAUGGCGCCUUCCAGUAUCCUGGGACGCAUGCCUGUCCGAGCGUCGUUUCAACCCUCGAGCCCCCGUGGCCCGGCGUUGGGGAUCUGCCCAGGCAGGCCCCGAAAACCAGUGGCGGACCCGUUACAGGCCCUUCCUUAGCAUAGUAAUACUGCCUCGGAUCGGGAGCCGGCGGCCUUCCAGCCUAUAAACCCCCAGCCAGUCCGCCUCGGCGGCACCACGGUUGACCUCAAAUCAGGUAGGAAUACCCGCUGAACUUAA